rnacentral:rRNA from 1 species
GGGUGCGGUCAUACCAGUACUACUGCACCGGAACACAUCAGAACUCCGUAGCUAAGCGUGCUUGGGCGAGAGUAGUACUAGGAUAGGUGACCUCCUGGGAAGUCCUCGUGUUGCAACCCCUG